ACUCAAAUGAAUUGACGGGGACCCGCACAAGCGGUGGAUGAUGUGGAUUAAUUCGAUGCAACGCGAAAAACCUUACCUACCCUUGACAUGGCUGGAAUCCUCGAGAGAUUGAGGAGUGCUCGAAAGAGAACCAGUACACAGGUGCUGCAUGGCUGUCGUCAGCUCGUGUCGUGAGAUGUUGGGUUAAGUCCCGCAACGAGCGCAACCCUUGUCAUUAGUUGCUACGAAAGGGCACUCUAAUGAGACUGCCGGUGACAAACCGGAGGAAGGUGGGGAUGACGUCAAGUCCUCAUGGCCCUUAUGGGUAGGGCUUCACACGUCAUACAAUGGUACAUACAGAGCGCCGCCAACCCGCGAGGGGGAGCUAAUCGCAGAAAGUGUAUCGUAGUCCGGAUUGUAGUCUGCAACUCGACUGCAUGAAGUUGGAAUCGCUAGUAAUCGCGGAUCAGCAUGUCGCGGUGAAUACGUUCCCGGGUCUUGUACACACCGCCCGU
rnacentral:rRNA from 1 species